UCCCGCCUUUCUGGCCGCGCCCGUCCGGAGCUCGCUCCCCAUCCCGGAGGCGACCUCGGAUGCUCCUUCCUUUCUGGCCUUGUCCCUGCCCUACCUCCACGUUAUUCCGUUCUUCUCCUUGAGCCCUUGACUUUUUAUGAGUGACCUGGAAGACCUCAGAGAAGCCAUGGCAACAAAGGGCCUUGUGCUCACUACAGCAGAGCGUCCUGUCUUUGUCCGAUCCAGCCCAGUACAUCAGUCUCUGCAAAUAACAAAAGAUGUGGCCACUCAGCCGCCUGUCUGUGCCCCCACCAGAGCACUGAGAAAGGUUGAGGCCUCUCCAACUGGAACUGAACUAGGAGAGCAGCAGACAGGAAGUCCCUCUGUAGCAGGAACUGAUUCAACCUUUGCUGCUUUAGCCCUCAGUAGAUGGAAAUGCUGAAGCUCCUACGUCCUCUGUGCUUCUCUUUCUGAACACUCUUCCCUGGUGGUUGGCAAUCUGCCUGCCAAUGCAGGGGACACGGGUUCAAGCCCUGGUCCAGGAAGAUCCCACAUGCCGCGGAGCAACUAAGCCCAUGCACCACAACUACUGAGUCUGUGCUCUAGAGCCCGCGAGCCACAACUACUGAAGCUCACCCGCCUAGAGCCCGUGCUCCGCAACAAGAGCAGCCACCGCAGUGAGAAGCCUGCACACCGCAACGAAGAGUAGCCCCCGCUUGCCGCAACUAGAGAAAGCCCGCACGCAGCAACGAAGACCCAAGGCAGCCAAAAAAAAAAAAAAGAAAUAGAAGUGUCUUUAAAAAAAAUAAAAUAAAA